GACGAACGCUGGCGGCGCGCUUAACACAUGCAAGUCGAGCGAAGCGGCGGACGGGUGAGUAACACGUGAGUAACCUGCAUUAGACCUUGGGAUAGCCUCGGGAAACCGGGAUUAAUACCAAAUGGUCUAAGAUGGACUCGCGUCCCAUUAGCCAGUUGGUGAGGUAACGGCCCACCAAGGCGACGAUGGGUAUCCGGGCUGAGAGGGUGAACGGCCACAUUGGAACUGGGAAACGGUCCAGACUCUACGGGAGGCAGCAGUGGGGAAUAUUGCACAAUGGAGGGAACUCUGAUGCAGCGAGGCCGCGAGAACGAAGAAGGCGUUGGAGUCGUAAAGUUCUUUAAUAUGGGAAGCGGUACCAUAAGAAAAAGCCCCGGCUAACUACGUGCCAGCCGCCGCGGUAAUUC
rnacentral:rRNA from 1 species